rnacentral:rRNA from 1 species
GUCGCAAGACCAAAGUGGGGGACCUUCGGGCCUCAUGCCAUCAGAUGUGCCCAGAUGGGAUUAGCUAGUAGGUGGGGUAACGGCUCACCUAGGCGACGAUCCCUAGCUGGUCUGAGAGGAUGACCAGCCACACUGGAACUGAGACACGGUCCAGACUCCUACGGGAGGCAGCAGUGGGGAAUAUUGCACAAUGGGCGCAAGCCUGAUGCAGCCAUGCCGCGUGUGUGAAGAAGGCCUUCGGGUUGUAAAGCACUUUCAGCGGGGAGGAAGGCGAUAAGGUUAAUAACCUUGUCGAUUGACGUUACCCGCAGAAGAAGCACCGGCUAACUCCGCGCCAGC